AUGAGUUCACGGGAAGGAAAGAGAGGAAGGAAGGAAGAGGAAGAGAGAGAAGGAAGAGGAAGAGAGAAAAUAGAGGAAGAUGAGAGGAGAUAAUAGAGAGAGUUAUCUUUGUACUCCUAUUAUUUCAAAUUAUAAUGAAAGCACCACUGCUGCCCCGAGGACGUACUCCAGUCACACUGACUAUAGAGGAACCUCGUAAAUUUUGUGUCUUGUUUCAUUUAUUCCACUGCACCCAUAGUCGAUUUUACAACACGUUAUCAGCGCGAGAAGCUCUCAUGUCAGUGGAAAGCACAACGCCACAAAUCCUGUUCACCUCCUUCAGCUGGAAUCUCACAGAUAAGAAACAAUUUUCAUUUCAUCUUCAAAUCUCAAUACAAUUGAUUUUCUUGAAGCAACUAUAUAUAUUGUUGUAUGACUGUAUAUCAUCCUUUGCAGAAGCAAAAGAGUACAUACUCAAAAUUUGUAAAGAAUUUGACAGCCAUGUAAACAGCCUCUGAACUCCAACUUGCAGACCUCGGAUUAAAAUACUUUCUUCUUGAAAGUUGUUCGUCCACUCAGUAUCUACAACAUAUCAAAAUAUCAGAAAACUUUAACGGUGCGAUCGUUGCAGAUGUCUGAAAUACUAAACCCGUUUCCAAUUUCCGCAGAAAACUGGACAGCCACCUUAUGAGUACCAUAACUCUAUUUCUGUAGCUCAAAUCGAAAUUGUUUCUUCACGAAAGUUGUUUGGUAUCCUCUUAUCCAUAUCAUACUAAAAUUUGAACUAAAUCUAACGGUUUGAUCUUCUCAUAAGUUGCAGACACUUUUGACUUCAAAACUUAUGGGAACCGUUUCGACUUUUUCGGAACUCACCGGAGGAGGAACACCAAUUGGAACUUAUUGUUACUUUUACUUCCUGAGUAACUAAAAGGACUUGUUGUUGUGAAAUGAAAACAUUAAUAAAAUAAGGACAAUUUGGAUGGGUGCCCCGACAGAAGUGAAGGGAAGAAAUAAUAAAAAAUAAUAAUAAAGUUGAUAGUGGAAAGUUGAUGAGACCAUCACCAUUAUGAAAAGAAAUAAUAAAAUUAUGUAUUUAUUUAUGUGCAUGGUGUUGGUUUAAAGCCCAUGUCACAAGUUCUAUUUAUUUAAAGCAAUUUAUUUACAAAUGGGUAGAAUUAUUACCCUUUGCUUUAAAGCUUUGAUAUUUAUGUGAAUGGUGCUGAAUCAAAACCCUUGUCACAAGCUUUAUUUACUUUAAAGCAAUUUAUUUACCAUGGACGGUUUUACCGCCUAUUGCUUUAAGUUUUGAUGGUGCUGAAUUAAAGCCCUUGUCACAAGCUUUAUUUACUUAAAUGCAAUUUAUUCAUUAUGGCUGGAAUUACCGUCUAUUGCUUUAAUUUAUUUAUUGUACUUAUCUUUUGUUACAAUGAGUAUAACAAUGACCCAGAGUUCCUUGAUUAGAUCAGAACCUGCAGUUUCUUGAUCCUCAUCACAUAAAAUGAUAGGACCCGAAGUUCCAUCAUACAAAAAGAUCAGGCAUGAAGUCCUUUGAUCCUGAAGAUCAGGACAUGAAAUUCCUUGAUGAGUACCGUAAGUUUGAAGUGCCACAGUGCCUCAACUUAAUUAUAAUAAAGGUCAUAAAAGUCUCAAUCCAUAGACUAUUUAAUAAGGACCAGAAGUUCCUUAUGUCCAUACUUAAAAUGGUUUAGCAGAAGCAUUUAUUAAGCGGAUGAAAUUGAUUACCCGCGCUCUGCUCAUGAAAACGAAAUUACCAGUUUUCUACAUGGGGACAUGUCAUUUUACAUGACGCAUUAUUAAGUUCGGAUGAGACCAGUUUCCAACCAUCAAUACUACUCAGUACAACUUGUGUUUGGGCACAAGCCAAACAUUAUACAGUUAUGAGUUUUUGGUUGUGUUAUCAAUGUGCCUAUUGCACUGCCACAACAUACUAAAAUAAGGCAUCAACGCAAAACUGGAAAUUAUGUUGGAUUUGAUUCAUCAUCUAUCAUUCAAUAUUUAGAACCCUUGACUGGGGAUAUAUUUACCGCUUGGUUUGCGGACUGUCAUUUUGAUAAGAUAAUUUUCCUGACAUUAGGGGGAGAAAAUAAUAUCGUUCCAGAAGAACGAUGAGAAAAUAUUAUUCCAAAAGAAUGAUGAGAAAAGAUCGUUCCAGAAGAACGAAGAGAAUUUGUCUUAUUUUGAUUCACGAAGCAAUCAAUAAGAAAAUGAAAUAUGAAUAAUUGAAUGAUGCAACGAAAGUGAUGAAAUCAUAUAUACUUACUGCAAAUGUGCCUACAAGAAUUGAUGUUUCUGUUGGAUAAAAUAAUGAGACAGUAAAUGAUUUAUCUGUUGCACGCCUGAAGCGUGGCAGAUUUUUAGACUCAAAAGGUUCAGUUAUUCGAAAGAAGAAUAAUAUGGCACUACUGAACUAUUGCAUUCCCGAAGCAUAACUGUUGCAUGCCAGAAGCAUGACAGUCGCCGCGUGGAUACACGUCCCAGAUAGGACAAUCCACAGACAUGGGAAUAUUGAUGUCUCAUGCAUGAAGCAUGAUUGACGUAUAGGUUCUAAAUGACUCAACUCUUGGAAGUGGAGAUUAAAAUCCAAGCUCUAUAACGCUCAAGAAUAGAUUAUGAUCCGCUUUCUCUAAACUAUGACUAUCCUGGAAGAGAUAGUGUAAUGCCCUUGAAGAGGCAAUGGAUAUCCAAAGAAAUGAAAAGCUUCUAUGCAUGCGCAUGCACAUGAGAAUAUGGGAUCACGGAUUGAUGAUAACCAAUGGUAAUUUUGGUUUUUACAAGUAGCUACUAAAUUCAUCAAUGAGCUGUGUUAAUAUUGAGUCACGUUCUUUUGUUCGUCGACAAAAGGAAAAUUAUUGGCCAAAAUGGAGAAAGGCAAUUCUAUUACAAUUUUGUAAGAACGUGGAAAAAUGGACCUAUAUAUUUGAAUGUAAUACAAAUAGCCAAAAGAUGUUGAACCAAGGAGAUUAUAUAUAUGGGCAUUUGUAAUACAGUGUAAUACACUUACAUGAUAUGACACAAGGUUGUAAACGAGUUCAUAUAAAUGGAGAAUUAUAUAUGAAGGGUUGUGAGUCACCCACAUCAUAUCUCCAUAAGUAAAUCCCUCAAAUAUACAUGGGAGCAAAUUGCUCUGUAUAAAUUCCAAAGGAAAAUAUGUCAUGAAGUGUAGAAAUCCCUGAAGGAUUCAAAUUGCUUGAAGUAAGCCCCCGAAGGGUAAAACAUAAAUUAUGAACUCAAUAUCAAUGGAUGAUAUAAAUUGCCUUAGUGAGUACUAUCAUUAUGAUAUUGUUGCAACAUACUAAAAUCUCUUGCAAGAGUCAAUGACAUUAAAUUAGAACUCUUGAAGAGUUGAUGAUAUUAAAUUGGGACUCCUGAAGAGUCUAGAAAAAUUAUAAAGUGUUGAAGGAAUUAUUGUCUCGAGCUGGAGAUCGAACAAUCUACCAACACGAAUCUUAUCCAUGAUAUUUAUGAUAUUAAAAGAACCAUAUGGAUUGAAGAUUAUGAGUUGAAUACUCAUAUGAUGAAGACACUAAGAAUAAUCAUUUAUCUUCGUGAGGGUAAAGAUAAAUUAAUAUUUGGUCCAGAAGUACCACAUCUUAGUGAAGUAUAUGCUUUAUUGUAUUUGGCACAAUACAUUGAAUGAAAUAAAACUUAUUUAUUAAUAUCUCCAAGAAAUUACAGAUAUAUACAUACACAUGAGUUAAAACAAACAAACAGGAUGGAGCCUUCACAAAGGUUACUCAUGUGCAGCCUCAGUACUCGAAAGUACCCCAGAAGGGGGAGGCACUGGAGAUUGAUCAUGUGGCACCCCAGUACUUAGCAAAACACCAGAAGGGGAAAGCAUCAGUUGCUUUCGGAAUCUAGCAACGAACCUCUGGUGAUCACUUUGAAUCCGACUUUCGGAUUCUUGCAGUUGGUCAAGCUUUCUUUUCAUGCUCGUAGAGUAACUAUUUGCAAGCACGUGUAACACCCUAUUCUCGUGCUUGAUCCCUCUGAUCUCUUGUUUAAAACUUGCCACCUCCACCAUCAAUGAUUUAAUUUGGCGAGUUUGAGCAAGUAGGCGUUGGCCCAUAUUGGAAACAUAGCCAGCACACUGAACACUGAGAGCCAAGGAGUCUUGAACGGCCGACUCUUCAGACCGUUCUGAAAGGAUCUUGUUAUCCCUUGGAGUGAGAAGAUUCCUAGCUACCACAGUAGCAGUUAUGUUAUUCUUCAUCACAGAGUCCCCAACCGUAAGAGGACCAUUAGAAGAUAAGAAGGACGGGCGCCAUAUAUUAUCAUGACGCUGCUCGUCUGUAUCACUCCUAAGACUCAAAUCUAAGCAAAUGUUAGAUGGACAAGUCAUUUUUCAGAAAUGAUGAAGGAAAAACAGAGGUCAAAUAAAAUUUCAGAAGUGCAAGAUAGAGGAAAUUUCUACAGGCAGCAACUUUCUGAGCAUACUCUUGAACACAAUUGAUGUCUCUAUAAAAGAAGAGGCAGCAGAGCCACUCAUUCAAAGAUCGAAGAGGCACGGCUCUCCGAAUUUCAAAAAGCCAGAUUUUCCUGAAUAAAGUUCGUUGGCAUUUUUCAGACGUAAUCCCAGCUUUUCAGAUGUCGCGUGCAAUUUUGUCAAAGAUCUCUGACAAAGUUGAAACCGCGUAAAUCUUACUGUUCUAUUUACACCACAGUUGCUGACAAGAGUAAAAGCACAGCACCACCACUUGCUAUUGGGAAAUCUCUAUAUAUGUCGACCUCUGUUCUUCAUAACAAGGCAGACCCGCAACUCUGCAAGAAUACCUAACUCUUCCUCAUCUCCGAGAAUGCAUCUUCAACAUAGCAUCUCGAAAUACUCAGUUUUCUUCCUCUCCGAGAAUACCUCUUCAAACAUGUCACACCAGAUCAAGAUUAUCACAUAUCUUCAGGGACCAAAGCAAGAUUAUCUCAUAUCAUGCAAUCUCCCUGUCCUUUCCUUUGUCCAUGUUCUUGCCUACAAAGACAAGGAUAAAGAAAGCAAUAUGUCGGAACCUCCACUCAAACUCCCGGUAAGGAACCGACUGCCUGGAACCUUUCCUGAUUGCUUACCUAGUAUUGCUCUCGAGUAGUCAUCUUCAACUGUUGUUGGAGCUGGGUCUCCAGUCACCAAGAAGUGAUGAACCAUCCAAAUGCAAGGGUUGCACUCCACUCCGGCAUCAGAUGGAAAAUACUGCCGGAGAAGAUGCCACACAUGCAUGGGGGAAAAACAGGGAAAAUACUACUUAAGCAAGGGGAGCAAGUAAGGAAAGUGAAAAUGAUACAUUGAAGCAUGUGGAGACAAGCGCAACAAACGCGUGCUGAUUCAUCCCUGACAAAAUUGAAGAUCACUUGCCACAUGAAGCUCCUCAUGGUCCAAUUUCAUUCAAGAUCAAGCCUCGAAGGUCCUUGAAGAAAUCACAAGUCCGAUUCAAGAUCAAGUGUUCAUUACUCUUGAAUCAAAUUCCGCUCCAGAUAAAAGGAGUAAAUUCCGAUCUUCGAUGCUAAUCUAGCAGAAAGUCCUACAACCCAGUUCAAGAAAAAGGCUGUGGAAAGUUAACAAUAAGUAAAGCAACUCUUUUAGCAAUUCUUCUUACUAAGAGACUAAAGCAGAACAAUCAACGAUCAACCUAAAUGAUUUGAAAUCAGGGGGAGAUACUCAUCAGGGGGAGCAUCCAAGACAAAUCAAGAUUUUAACGAGUCAAUCGAAGACUUGUGGCCAUCCAAGGGGGAGUGUUGUAAAUAUUAUGUGGAUGGUCCACAUGAAUAGUUUGUUACUAUUUAUGCACAGUAUUUUCACUAUUCAUUUGUGGAAAAUUUGUAAAGUGAAUAGUGCUUUCUUUUGUUUAUAUAAAGGAAGAAUAGAUAGAUAAAUGUGAUGAGUUCACGGGAAGGAAAGAGAGGAAGGAAGGAAGAGGAAGAGAGAGAAGGAAGAGGAAGAGAGAAAAUAGAGGAAGAUGAGAGGAGAUAAUAGAGAGAGUUAUCUUUGUACUCCUAUUAUUUCAAAUUAUAAUGAAAGCACCAUUGCUGCCCCGAUGACGUACUCCAGUCACACUGAUUGUAAAGGAACCUCGUAAAUUUUGUGUCUUGUUUCAUUUAUUCCACUGCACCCAUAGUCGAUUUUACAACACUUUUUACUUUUUUCUCCCAUUUUAUAUAACAAUAUUAUUUGAAGCUAUUUAUGAAAAAUGAUACUAGAAAAUUUCAUCACAAAUAAAAAGACUACAAAUAGACAAGGAGCAAGCGAGACUAUUUCUAGAUUAGUUAUUGCUAAAAGCUUGAUAACAGUAACAAAAGUAUUAACACUUUUAGGAAUAAGUACGCCUGAAACAAUCACACUUACUUAGCGACAUGUUACCCUUUUUUGUUGUUGUUUUGUUGUUAGCAGUUUGCACCAAUAUAUAUCGUAUCCCUAACAUAAAUAAAAAUCUAAAAGGCUAAAGAUAUAAAACAAGAUGUUAUACUCGAGCACAGUAUGCACAAUGCAACUUAAGUGGUAUGUAUGGUCAACAACUCAACAUGUACAGUGGUGUGAGAAACAGUAACAACCAGAAUUUUGAGUCAUAUGAAUUAUGAGAGAUAGAGAGAGAGAGAGAGGACGAAAAGGAUGAAGAAAAAAAAAAAUCAAAGCCACCAAUCAAUGUGAUGAUGAUAAUAAUGACGUGGAAGAGAUCAUCACAAUAAAGAUAAACAUACAGAAAAUAAGCUUCCAUUCUAAAUCUAAUUUCUUUUAAUCGCCAUGUGUACAACAUUAUAACAACAUAAGAUUAUGUAUACGAAUUGUUGAU
rnacentral:lncRNA from 1 species